GUCGUACCAUGCGAUAAGCUUGACGAAGUUCUUGUUGAGCGCAAUGCCGGCCUCGGCGUCGAAGAUCGACGACGCGUCGGAGCCGGUGAAGUCAGUGGACACCACCUUGUCCUCGGUAUAGUCGAUGAUGCCCUUGAGGUUGCCGGUAGCGGCGGACUUGACGGCAGCCUUGAUCUCGUCGUACGAAGCCUCCUUCUCGAGGCGGACGACAAGGUCGACGACGGAGACGUCAAUCGUGGGCACACGGAAGGCCAUACCCGUGAGCUUGCCGUUGAGGCUAGGGAUGACCUUGCCGACGGCCUUGGCAGCACCGGUCGAUGAGGGGAUGAUGUUGGCGGCGACGGCACGACCACCACGCCAGUCCUUCAUCGAGGGGCCAUCGACGGUACGCUGGGUGGCGGUUGUCGCGUGGACCGUGGUCAUGAGUCCCUCGACGA
rnacentral:misc_RNA from 1 species